rnacentral:pre_miRNA from 12 species
GAUAUUUGUUUUAGAAUUCCUACGCUUUACCGGUUUUUAAAAAUGGCAAAGCGUUUGAAGUCUAAAACAAAAGCA